CCGCUCCCUACCAAUGAGCCGCCGGAUCUCCCAGUGAGGAGGCCGGGGCCGCUGGAUCCGGUGACCCCGUUCUCCUCGCCGGCGGAUCCGGCACUCCAGAGAAAGGAACGAG
rnacentral:miRNA from 1 species